rnacentral:lncRNA from 1 species
GAGACCUAAGAUGGCGGCGUUUGCAUAAUGUGAAAGCGAUGCAGGCGUACCAGAUUGGAGAGGCAGGCAAAGGAUGUAUCUGCUAAGGAAGGUUCGGGAACUCGCCAAUACUUGUGGCCUCUCUAUUCCCUGAAAAACAAUAAUGAAGUUAGGCCAGUGAAUACCCUACAGUGGUUCAAGUGAAAGGAGGAAAAAUCACACAUCUCUCACUUUAAAUCAAAGGUAGAUCACAUCCAAAAAAUAAAAUACCUAGAAUAAACCUACCAAAGGAGGCAAAAGACCUGUAUUCCAAAAACUCUUAAGAAGCUGAUGGAAUAAAUUGAAGAUGACACAAACAGAUGGAAGAAAUACCAUGUUCUUGGAUUGCAAGAAUCAGUAUUGUCAAAGUGACCAUACUGCCCAAGACAAUCUAAAUUUUCAGUGCAAUCCCUAUCAAAUUUAUCAAUGGCAUUUUUCUCAGAAGUGGAGCAAAAUUUUUAAAAAUUUUAUGGAAACAUAAAAGACCUUGAAUAGCCGAAACAAUCUUGAGAAAGAAGAGCAGAACUGGAGGAAUCGUGCUCCUUGACUUCAGACUAUACUACAAAGCUACAGUACUCAAAACAGAAUGAUAUUGGGGGGAUGGAACCAGACAUAUUAUAGAUCAAUGGAUAGAAAGCCCAGAAAUAAACCCAUGCCCUUUGGUCAAUUAAUCUACAACAAAGGAGGCAAGAACAUACAAUGGAAAAAAGACAGUCUCUUCAAUAAACCAUGCUGGGAAAAUUGGACAGCUACAUGUGAAAGAAUGGCACAAUGAAUUAAGUAUACAGUGUUGUCACUGCAGCAUCUCAGGUCACUGCUGUGGCGUGGGUUUGAUCCCUGGCCUGGGAACUUCUACAUGCCAUGGGUGUGGCCAAAAAGACAGCCCAAAUCCUCCCAAAUAACCAUGAGAUACCACUUCAUACUGUGCCUAUAAAAUGGAAAAUAACAAAUGUCAGUAAUGAUGUGGAAAAGUUAAAAUUUUUGUUCCUUUUGGAGUUCCUGUCAUGGCUCAGUGGUUAACGAAUCCAACUAGGAACCAUGAGGUUGUGGGUUUGACCCCUGGCCUCGCUCAGUGGGUUAAGGAUCCAGCGUUGCUGUGGCUGUGGUGUAGGCUGGUGGCUACAGCUCCGAUUCGACCCAUAGCCUGGGAACCUCCACAUGCUGCAAGUGUGGCCCUAAAAGCAAAAAAAAAAAUUGUUCUUUUUAUGGGGGACAUCAAAUAGUGAGGCUACUGUGAAGAACAGUAUUGUAUUUCCUAAAAAAUUUAAAUAUAGAAUUUUUGUGACCCCAAUUCCAUAUCAUGUAUAGUCCUAAGUUAAAGGAAUAUUAAUGUUCAAGUAAACAUUUUGUAUGGAAAUAUGUACAGCCACAACUAUUUGCCAUAGGCAAAGGGUGAAAUUGUUUCAAAUAUCCACGAGUAGAUGAAUGGCUAGAGAAAGUGGUAUAUUCAUAAAAUGCAGUAUUAUUCAUCCAUAAAUAGGAAUCAAUUACAGAUACAUAGUAUGUCAUGGAUGUUCAUCUUAAUCAUUGUGCUAAGUGAAAGAAACCAGACACAUAAGGGCCUUAUUCUAUUUACAUGGAAUAUGAAGAAGAGGUAAAUCAGUAGGGGCAAAGCAGAUUAGUGGUUGUCAGUGACUAGAGAGGGUACAGGGAAUGGAGAAUGGAGAAUUUUGACCAUAGUGAUGAUUGCACAAAGGCCCCUGAAUUGUAUUAAAAUGGUGAGUUUUAUGUAUGUGAAUUUUACCUCAUUUUUAAAAAUAAAGGAAUUAAUCAUUUAAAAAAAAAUACGUGGUGGGCAAGAUAUAGCUCCCUGGGUAUAGUUUAUUGACUCUUGGUAUUGUUUAUUCAUGGGUAUUUGCAUUGCAACAUAUUUAUUACAAAUAUUUUUUAAUGAGACAGUCUAAAGACAUAUUUAGAAUGUAGUAGGAUAUAAGUUGUCACAAAAUGCUGGCUUUCAAAAUUUAUAUACAAAUCAUUAGAAUCAAUAUGCUGUUAGCCCUGUAGAGGAUUGGCAAAGACUUGAGCAUGUCCCACAUAAACCACAGUUGUAGGUCCUCAAGUUUAUUUGGCAACAGAGAAACAGCAAAAAUUAUAAGCAGUCCUAAUGUAUACUUUCUAGAAUGGGUCCAAUAAAAUGGAUUGAGGAUUCUAAAUAUUGGUGAGUAUUUUACUAACCAGUAUCUUUUACACAGGGAUGGUGUGAGUAUAAUUGGGGAUAGUCACAUUGGAAAACUUUUCAUGAUACGCCAUAAUACUGAACAUGCUCAUAUUUUCUGACUUAGAAAUUUCACUACAGUGUAUAUGCUUAUCAAGAUUGAUGUGUAUAUGUUCCCUAAAGACAUGUUAAUGUCUGUAGCAUUAUUAUUCUUAAUGGCUGGCUCUAAGCUGGAAAACAUGCAAAUGACUGUCAACAGAAUAGACACAUCAAUGGUAGUGGUGUUUCCUUUUUGUGGAUUACUACACAUUAUUGAAAUAGAACAAACUGCAACUACAUGUUAUGCAGUUAUCUCCUAUUAUUUUCAGCAAAGCAGCAGAAUGUAUUAACCAAAAGUUGGAAUAGUGGUUCAUCUGGGUAAAAAUGUAAUUAAUUAUAGCAGUGCACAUGUCACUUUAAUGAUGCCAAUAAUUUUUUCAAGUUUGUUAAAUUAUUCUUUGUGUACGUAUAUAAUUUAUACAGUCUUCUGUGUAUCAUAUUUUAUAAUAUAAUAAAAAUAAAAUUUCACUCAAAUACCAAUUUUUGAGGAUCCUUCUCAGGAUGUAUGGGUAUACCUUGGAGAUAUUGUGGGUUCAGUUCCAGACAACCACAGUAAAGUAAAUAUCACAAUAAUUUGAGUUACAUGAGUUUUGUUGAUUUACUAGUGCACAUAAAAGUCAAGUUUGCACUGUACUGUAGUUUCUUCUGUACAAUAGCAUCAUGUCUAAAAAAAAAGUACAUACCUUAAUUUAAAAAUUUUUGGAGUUCCUGUCGUGGUGCAGUGGAAAUGAAUCCAACUAGGAACCAUGAGGUUGUGGGUUCGAUCCCUGGCCUCCACUCAGCUGGUUAAGGAUGUGGUGUUGCUGUGAACUGUGGUGUAGGUCGCAGACGUGACUCGGAUCUGGUGUUGCUGUGGCUGGCAUAGGUCAGCAGCUACUGCUCCAAUUAGACCCCUAGCCUGGGAACCUCCAUAUGCCAUGGGUGUGGCCCUAAAAAUGACAGAAAUGAAAAUUCAUUGCUGAAAAAUGCUAAGCAUCAUCUGAGCCUUUAUCAAGUUAGUCGUGACAUCAAAAAUUACUGAUCAUCAUAAAAAAUAUAAUUGCAAAAAAGUUUUAAGUAUAUACUUCUGAAGUUUCUCCUAAUGGCAUACAGCAAAUGAUGAAAUAUUUAAGAGUUUUCUUGAAACUGAAGAGCAAGAUUGUGUGACAUUCAAACUACCACUCACUCAUUCUUCCCAUUUCAACUCAUUAGGAUGACUCUACUCUAAGUAUUGGAGCCAAAAAUAAAAAUAUCUCUGUCUUUUAGCUAGCAGUUCAGGUCUGAAGUCCAGAAUGGGAUGAUGCCAAAAUUUCUUAUUCUCCAGCUCAGUUUUGUAGAUCCUCAGUUCCACACAAUUGCAGCUGACAGGAUGAAGAUUUAUUCCUCUCCUCCCCACUCAGACACAUUGAAUAGGAGCUCUUCCUCAGGCUUAGUAUCCUUAGAAUACUGAACCCCCUGUCUUCACCGUAGGUCAUUUGUACCUUUGAAGUUCCAUAUUAGGUGGGGCAAAUUGAGAACACAGCAAUCCCCCAGUUUAAUACUUAAAAAUCUGUAUUGUCACUUUGGGGAUAGGUUGUCACUAUCUCUCUAGCUCUUUGGAUCUGGGUGACAGAUUCUGUUAAGUAGGACAGGCAGAACAUAAGAAUAGAGAGCCCUGAAGCCCUCCCUAAUGCACCUACUUUUAUUUUAUUUUACUUUAUUAUUUUACUUUAUAUUUUUAUAACUGCACCUGAGGCACAUAAAAGUUCCUGGGCUAGGAGUUGAAUUGAAGCUAUAGCUGCAGGCCUAUGCCACAGUCACAGCAAUGUUGGAUAUGAGCUACAUCUGCAACCUCUGCCACAGCUUGCGGCAGUGCUGGAUCCUUAACCCACUGAGCAAGGCCGGGGAAUUGAACCUGCAUCCUUAUGGACACUAUGUUGGGUUCUUAACCCACAAUGGGAACUCCCUAAACUACCGUUAUUUUAAAGAGUAUGGUGACAUUGAAGCCUAUGGGCAAACCCCAAAAUGGUAGAUAUUUCAGUAGUAAGUAAUUAGAUAGCUGGUACUUCAUGAGUGCAACCUGCCUAACUGUAGGCUAGCUAAUUUUCCACAGAGAACCAUGAAAAGCAUUGAGAGCAUUCCUUUUGUCUGAACAAAUACUGGCAUCAGUCACUACCACUGCAGUGGGCCUGAAUUUAACUGUAUUAGGAUAUUUAGUAAUAUAUGUUAUAAAUCAUAAAAAAAGAACUUGUAUUUAGUGUAGCCAACAGCUCAAUUUGUUCAAGACUAGAGACCACUUGACUCCUUGUAUAUUUGUCAUUCCAGGAUAACUGGACAUUUCCAGGGCUAAACCCUCUGAGAAGCAAUAUCAUAAGCUUAACAUUGUGUGAGAAAUAGACUUCAGUAAGAGUCCAGUGAAUCACUAAACAUUAAAAAUUUAAUUGAUAACUACCAUCCCUGGAGUUGUGCUUAACUAGCCAAUAUUGCUACCAUCAUUUAUGUCUUUUUUCCAACUGCAAAAAAAAUUGAGACAUGCAAAAAAAAAAAAAAA